rnacentral:rRNA from 1 species
GACGAACGCUGGCGGCGUGCUUAACACAUGCAAGUCGAACGGAAAGGCCCUGCUUGCUGGGUACUCGAGUGGCGAACGGGUGAGUAACUCGUGGGUGAACCGCCCUGCACUUCGGGAUAAGCCUGGGAGACUGGGUCUAAUCCCGGAUAGCAGCCACUUUUAGUGUGAUGGUUGGAAAGUUUUUUCGGUGUUGGAUGAGCUCGCGGCCUAUUGGCUUGUUGGUGGGGUAAUGGCCUACCAAGGCGACAACGGGUAGCCGGCCAGCGAGGGUGGUCGGCCAUCCAGGGUCCUAGAGGCGGCCCAAGCGCCGAAGGGUGGCAGCAGGGGGGAAGAUUGCUCCAUCGGCGCAGGCCUGAUGCAGAGGCGCCUCGUGUGGGAUGACCGUCUUCUGGUUGUAAACUCCUUUCGGUAGAGACGAAGCUUGUUGUGACGGUACCUAGAUAAUAAGCACCGGCUAACUACGUG